rnacentral:rRNA from 1 species
UACGUGAGGAUCCAAGCGUUGUCCGGAUUUACUGGGUGUAAAGGGUGCGCAGGCGGACUUAUAAGUCAGGGGUGAAAUCUUACUGCUCAACAGUGAAACUGCCUUUGAUACUGUAGGUCUUGAAUUAGGGAGAGAGUCGUUGGAAUUCCGAGUGUAAGCAGUGAAAUGUGUAGAGUAAUUCGGAAGGAACACCAGCGGGCGAAAGCAGGC